AACACAUGCAAGUCGAACGGUGAAAGAGAGCUUGCUCUCUGGAUCAGUGGCGAACGGGGAGUAACACGUGAGCAACCUGCCCCGGACUCUGGGAUAACAGCUGGAAACAGCUGCUAACAGCUGGAAACAGCUGCUAAUACCGGAUACGAGCUGCGAAGGCAUCUUCAGCAGCUGGAAAGAAUUUCGGUCCGGGAUGGGCUCGCGGCCUAUCAGCUUGUUGGUGAGGUAAUGGCUCACCAAGGCGUCGACGGGUAGCCGGCCUGAGAGGGUGACCGGCCACACUGGGACUGAGACACGGCCCAGACUCCUACGGGAGGCAGCAGUGGGGAAUAUUGCACAAUGGGCGAAAGCCUGAUGCAGCAACGCCGCGUGAGGGACGACGGCCUUCGGGUUGUAAACCUCUUUUAGCAAGGAAGAAGCGAAAGUGACGGUCCUUGCAAAAAAAGCGCCGGCUAACUACGUGCCAGCAGCCGCGGUAAUACGUAGGGCGCAAGCGUNAUCCGGAAUNUUUGGCCGUAAAAGCUCGUANGCGGUUUGUCNCGUCUGCUGUGAAANCCNANGCUAACCUCGGCCUGCAGUGGUACCGGCAAACUAAANUGCGNUNGGGANAUUGNACUCUGGUGUACGGUGNAUGCCAANUUNAGGAAAACCCAUGGNANGCNAUNUNGGCCUANCUACCUAAGACCAAAGGUGGGANCAANNGCUAANUCCNGGUNUCCCCCCNAACUUGGAACAUUNGGGGCC
rnacentral:rRNA from 1 species